GUAGAAUUCUGUCCGUAUUCCUGGACUCUCCAAGACUUACUGGCGUCUCUUCGACGAGGUACGCGUGUAUUAUAUCCGUUGGCUGGACAAAGGCAUCAGGGGGAUACCAAUGUGGAGCAGGUGUUCGCCAACACCAGGCGUCCCAGGCUCCUCCACGCGCACGCCACGCGACAUCGAUGGCCUCCGGUUCGCUCGUGCGAAAGA